GCAACUUACCGUGGUUCCCUGAACCUCAAGUUCCUCAUCGGUGGAACAGGCUUCAUCACGUACAACCUCCUGGGUUGCUGUGGGAGUUCAGUGAGAUCACCAAUACAUGCAAAGCACUUACGGAGGCCAGCCUGGCACACAAGUGCUCAAGAGCCACCGAGACUCUCGGUGGGAAGUGAGGCAUCAACACUAUUUUUAUAAUAACCCUCACUGCUUCGGAGCAGCCUCCCAGCAGGGGGUUAUGAACUGGCUCCUGUCAAGGGCGGCUUGAUUGAGCACCUACUGGGUGCCCGCUGCUGUGCCACAGUGUUGGAGAAAGGAGCAACAAGACUCAGUUCUCCUUCUCAAUGGAGACAGACAAGCAAACAGACGUGCGUCACGCGACUCGCUGAAGUGUCUGAGUGUACCAGCCAAGUGGCUCUGGAACCAGCCUGCUUGGGUUUGCAUUUCGCCCGGAACGACAGGAGUCUAGUCCCUGAGCUGGAGCGGAGGUAGCCAAGCCUGGAGGAAGCUGAUGCUGCGCGAACACCUGGCCGGGCACUAGGGCUCCGUGGCUGUCUUUGCCUGUGUCUCUCCUGGGACAGCGUGGAAUCAAGCACCUGUAGGUCCGGCCAAAGUGGUCAUUUGCAUGAAAUUGGAGCAGGUCCUGAAGCCCGAGGGGCCAGAGCUUCGCAAGGAAGAGUGGCGGCCACGUGGUCCUCUCAGGUAGCGAGAUGUGGAAUCACGGCUGCAGUGGGUUCCUGGUCUGAGGCACAGAGCCGACAGCAAGGGCACCAGAUGGUCCAGACCAAGCUGUCGGAGGGGCUGGCCAUAUAGGCUCAGACCCCUGCCUGGCAGACGGAGAACCCUCAGCUGGACACCAUCCCCCUCUGCCUGGGUGGAAGCAAGAAAACUCCAGGAACCCCCUGAACCCCAGAAAGAGGGAGGACCAGGACCAGAAGGCAUUGGAACAGGUGAAAGCAACGAUCUCACAUCUCUGAGAGGAUUUUCCACUCGCAUCUGACUUUCUACUACAAUUUGGUUUCCUGUGGUGGUUACAGAGGCUGCCAAGCCGGCAGGCUUUGUUACUCCCGGGCGUAGAGAAGGGCCUACAGAGAAAACCGAGCCUCUCCUCGCACCCUCGACCCUGCGUAGAGAGAGAAACCAGGGUGGUGAAGAGCAGACUGCCUGGUUUUGAGUCCUGGCUUCCCCAUUUCCUGGCAUCUAGCAGUGACACCCUGGACAAAGUGUCCGUCUCCCUCACUGGGUUUGAAGGAAGAUCGGAGUCUUCCCCAUUGCUGCACACUCAGCAUCCAGCCCAGACCGGGUGGAGGACAGGAUGGGGGGAGAUGAAUGAACGGCUGAAGGGAAGAAUGAAGGCAUCGAGAGAGGGAUGUUGGAGGAGUGGACAGGUGGAUGGAGUGUGGAUGGCCGGUUGGAUGGCGUGAUGAUUCCAUAGGCAGAUGGACAGUGGAUGGCCGUGAACAGGUGGGUGUAUGCUCAGCUACUAAUCAUGAUUUUUAGUACCGCACACACCUCUGGAGCCACCAGACACACACUCUGGACUUGCCAGGGACACCCCCCUCCCCUUGCUUCCAGCCUUUAUUCUGGUUUCUCCUCCAAAGCCUGGAUGUGGGUCUAAGAAUCCUCCCAGGUCUCUGCACAUGGGAGCCUGGGUAAGCUGCCCAUCAGAAGGCCUCACCCUUAUCAUCCCAUCUAAAUUUCCCUGUAUGAGGGUGAAAAUGACCGUGACCAAUUCACUGUGAACUCCAAGUACCCCACUAGGCUCGGGAGUGGGUGUUUCUGGACAAUCCAGUGUUUCCACUGGGAUGUGGAGGCCAAGAUGCCAAGGUGAUCUGCCGGCUGCUGUCCAGCGCCCCUAGUCCAUUACCACUGCAGACCUCCCCUCCGGCACAGCCCAGGCCUUCCACCCAAUCACAGCUCCCCCAAAAGAGAAUUGUACAACUUAUGAGGAGUCCCUGGUUCUCUUCAGCCACCCUAUCCUCAGGGACAGGUCAGAGCCCAGUUUGGAGGCCUGUUACCUUCCCCCAAUCUGUCCCAUAGAAUCAACUGAUGUAGAAACAUUACAGGAUUUGGGGUCAGAGGACGUCAGUUGAAGUUUUGUCUUCUCAGCCCUUGUCAGCUACUUCACUCUAGGGAGCGGGGAUUGGCCCAGAGGCAGAACAGAGCAGCAGGAAGAGACAGGCCUUGGAACCACCAGAGAUGUAGGUUCAAGUCAUGUCCCACAGGGAGUGUGACCCCACUCUGAGUCUGCUUCCUCAUCUGUAAAGUGGGAGAAACAGCACCAUGAGGCUGGCAGAUCUGUUGUGAGGUUCCGCAGACCCUGACCCACGCUGCUCAAUGAGAUGCCUUUCAAGACCAGUGCGGCUGCUGAGCACCGGAAACGGGGUCCGGCUCAAUGGAGACGUGGCACAGGUGUAAAAUCAUCAUUGGAUUUUGAAGACCUGGAAAAAAUGCAACCC